CCUACGGGAGGCAGCAGUGGGGAAUAUUGCACAAUGGGGGAAACCCUGAUGCAGCGACGCCGCGUGAGUGAAGAAGUAUUUCGGUACGUAAAGCUCUAUCAGCAGGGAAGAAAAUGACGGUACCUGACUAAGAAGCCCCGGCUAACUACGUGCCAGCAGCCGCGGUAAUACGUAGGGGGCAAGCGUUAUCCGGAUUUACUGGGUGUAAAGGGAGCGUAGACGGCUGCGCAAGUCUGGAGUGAAAGCCCAUGGCUUAACCAUGGAACUGCUUUGGAAACGGUGCAGCUAGAGUGCAGGAGAGGUAAGCGGAAUUCCUGGUGUAGCGGUGAAAUGCGUAGAUAGUAGGAGGAACACCAGUGGCGAAGGCGGCUUACUGGACUGUAACUGACGUUGAGGCUCGAAAGCGUGGGGAGCAAACAGGAUUAGAUACCCUAGUAGUC
rnacentral:rRNA from 1 species